UACGUAGGGUGCAAGCGUUGUCCGGAAUUAUUGGGCGUAAAGAGCUCGUAGGCGGUCUGUCGCGUCUGCUGUGAAAACUCAGGGCUUAACCCUGAGCUUGCAGUGGGUACGGGCAGACUAGAGUGCGGUAGGGGUGACUGGAAUUCCUGGUGUAGCGGUGGAAUGCGCAGAUAUCAGGAGGAACACCGAUGGCGAAGGCAGGUCACUGGGCCGCAACUGACGCUGGAGGAGCGAAAGCAUGGGGAGCGAACAGG
rnacentral:rRNA from 1 species